rnacentral:lncRNA from 1 species
GAGUCUCAAAAAGUGUCUGUUUAGUUCUGCUAACUAAGGGUAUCAACGAGCCGAGCACGAACAGACUCGUUAAAGUAUUGAGCUGAAAGGUUCAGAAACAAGCCGAACACGAGCUAGUUCACGAACAAUAGAUUAAAAGAAUUAGAAAGAAUAUAGAAAGGAAAUAGUUUUUUUGAUUUUACUUAUUAGAUUUUGAUGUAAUUGUUGAAAUAAAUAUAAGUUAUAUGUGUUCGAGCUGUUAUUGAGCUAAUUCCAGCUUGUGUUCAGCUUGUUUAUUAAACGAGCUGAAAAAUUCAACUCGUGUUCGGCUUGUUUAUUAGACGAGUGAUUCGAUCUCGAGCUCAUUUCGAGCCAAAUACGACCUGGCAUCCGCACAGUGAGCUAGAUUGCCACCCUUAGGUUCUGCUUAUGUUUCUCUUUUCAACUAUACAUACCGAUUUGUAGAAGAGUGUUUACAAAUUCAUCAUGCAUCUUCUACACAUAGGAACACAUUUUCGAAAAGAAACUUUAAGUGGGAAGCUCCCAAUGAUUUGUCUUCAAGUGUAACUUUUAUCUUCUUUUGAAGAUUAAAAAUUAUACUUCUAGGAUUUAUAAAUAUAUUUGAAUUUCAAUAUUAAAAAAUACUCAAGGAAUCAACGUAUGGAGAUAAAAUAAAUACGUAACAGUGGAUUGAGGCAUCCCAAUUGAGGCGUCGUUGGAAAGCUCCUCACUAUUUUUUUUUUUUUUUUUUUGAGAGAUAGGUAGUACGUUAUUCGUUUCGUUUAUUUCAUUUAGAAAUAAACUUAGCUAGAAAUGUGAAUCGACUAGGAUUCGAACUUGAGUCUCAGGUACCAACCACCAAACCCUUUAUCGCUUGCUCUAGGGACGGUCGGUUCCCACUAAAUUUUCAUCCCAUACUUUACCAUUAGUAAAUGAACUUAAAAUACAAAACUCGUUCCGACAAUUAUAUUCAAUUACAUUAAUUUAAUUGCAUAAAAAAUUAAACUAUUGCAAAUAUAUUAUAUUAUAAUAUUUUGUGCAGUUGUAAUAAUGCAAAUUAUUAUAUUAUUUACUAAUUUAUUACCACAUGAUUAAUAGCAACAAUUUGCAGUAGUUUUUGUUUGUUGCAUGACAAUUAUCAUUUAUAACUAAUGGCUAUCAAUUACAGCAGUUUUUAUUAUUGAAAAAGAAUGAAAUCCUAAUAGUGACUUUACUUAGACUUCGUUUGAGAUUACGGGGAGAUUACGUUACGUGUGAUGACAAAAGUACGAUAUAAAAAUAUCAUGUUUGUUUCCGUACGUAACAAUGUAUUACUCAGAAGCACAUUCUUAUAUGUUUUUACCCUAACGCCAUUUUACGUAAUAACGUUAGAUGGAUCUCAAUAUCAAACUAAGUCUUAGAAUACUGUGUUGAUGAAAAUUCAAAUUUCUGUGCGGUAUUUGUUCUAACAUACUGAGCUUUAAUUUGUUUCAAUUAGCAAAAU